rnacentral:tRNA from 1 species
GCUGGGGUGGCGAAAUUGGCAGACGCGCCAGCCUUAGGAGCUGGUGGGAGCAAUCCCGUGGAGGUUCAAGUCCUCUCCCCAGCA